rnacentral:rRNA from 1 species
GACGAACGCUGGCGGCGUGCUUAAUACAUGCAAGUCAACUUGACUUUAGAUAGCAAUAUCGAAAAGUAGGGUGGCGCACGGGUGCGUAACGCGUAGGUAAUCUGCCCUGAGGUCUGACAUAACCCGUCGAAAGGCGGGCUAACAUCAGAUGAUAUAUAAUCACGACAUCGUGGAAAUAUCAAAUCUUCGGAGCCUUGGGAUGAGCCUGCGUCUGAUUAGGUAGUUGGCGGAGUAAUAGCCCACCAAGCCUACGAUCAGUAGCUGGUCUGAGAGGAUGAUCAGCCACACUGGAACUGAGACACGGUCCAGACUCCUACGGGAGGCAGCAGUAAGGAAUAUUGCUCAAUGGGGGAAACCCUGAAGCAGCAACGCCGCGUGAAGGAUGAAAUACUUUUGUAUGUAAACUUCUGUAAGAUGGGAAAAUAUUCUCCUCGGGAGAAUUGAUUGUACCAUCAGAGUAAG